GCUGAAGUAGUUAUGCAAUGGGGUAUCUAACAACUCUACCAGCUUGGAAAUUGCAAAAAGUUGACAAUGCAUGCCCGUUUGGUCACGAUUGAAGUUUGGUCCAAGGCGUUCCAUUAGAGCAACAAAACACCAAAAUGAUUCUGACUCAUCGCCCAUUACGAACAAUAUCGGUGAAAGAAAAUCACUCAUACCCUGACAAUAUCCAAGAUCGAAGUUAUAAAAUGAAUAGGUCAACAAAAUAUCAUGAAGAAGCUUCACAUUAGGGUUCUCAUCCCCAUCAAAGAAAGAAAGUGAUCGGUCUGUCCUCACCACAUCUUUCUCAAU
rnacentral:misc_RNA from 1 species